rnacentral:lncRNA from 1 species
GGACAUAAAUAAAGCAAAGGAAAAAGAUAAAUACCCAUCUUUAUAAAGAGAUAUACAAACAACAGUGAUUGCUGAAUAAGAUAGUCUAUGAAGAUAAACCCCAUAAACACCAGAUAAUAGAUUAUAAGAGUAAGAAACCCAAGGCACUUCCAGUAUUGAAAUUGACAGGUACAACAACAACAACAACAACAACCCUGUAUAAUACCACUUAGUGGGGUCUGGGGAGGGUAGUAUGUAUGCAGACCUUACCCCUACCCUGGGGUAGAGGUAUAAUCUUAUUUAGUGGGGGGUCUGGGGAGGGUAGUAUGUACGCAGAGUUUACCCCUACCCUUGGGUAGAGAGACUGUUUCCAAAUAGAAACCCGGCAUUCUUCCCUCCAAGAACUUCCCACCUUGCUCUUGGGGAGACUCGAACUCACAACCUCUCGGUUGGAAGUGGAGGUUGCUUACCUAGGCUUUAGGAUAUGGGUAGGACAGAACCCUAUAUAUGUCUUAGGAAAUUCAAUAAAUUUGUACAAAUAGUGAAUUAUCCGAGUGACAACCUGAGCCAAAUUCAUUAUUGAAACACAGACGCCUCCACACACAUCCCCCAACCCCCCACACGUCUUUGCACUGAUCGAAACAACUAUUUGCACAAUCAGGUCACUUAUUAGGCAAUUACAUGUAAAUUCCUUAACAAGCAUUCAUCAAUAGUGUAAAAAGAUCUUUACUCUAUAUUUUCCAUAAAUUUGAGUUACUCGGCUUAUAUGUUAGAUCAGCUGCGAUAAAAA